rnacentral:rRNA from 1 species
UACGAAGGGGGCUAGCGUUGCUCGGAUUGACUGGGCGUAAAGGGCGCGUAGGCGGAUCUUUAAGUCGGGGGUGAAAGCCCAGGGCUCAACCCUGGAAUUGCCUUCGAUACUGGAGAUCUUGAGACCGGAAGAGGUAAGUGGAACUGCGAGUGUAGAGGUGAAAUUCGUAGAUAUUCGCAAGAACACCAGUGGCGAAGGCGGCUUACUGGUCCGGUUCUGACGCUGAGGCGCGAAAGCGUGGGGAGCAAACAGG